UUCCCGUAACUCCCCAGAUUAUUUAGCACACAAAUCAACUGGAUCGCAUCUGCAUCGGCCUGGUUCGCCGCCGCCGGCAAGAGCACAAGGCUGCACGGCUACAUCUCGCGGGGAAAUACGGAGGUCCCUUUGCUGAUUCGCCUCCGGAUCUCAAGAUCCCCAAACUCCUCGGUGGCACCAAUUCCCAGAAAGAGCGGUGAGAAUGUGGAUGAAAAUUCGAGAAGAGUCCAAAAAACAAAUGUCUCAAAACAAGACUCCAAGACAUGUGUCCUCAAAGAAGAGAUGUCGUCCGUCGGAACAGAUUGAGAAGAUCAGUGGUUGAGACUGAGUUGAUAUUGAUGCUUUGUCUAACGAUGGAGUGAAGAUAGAACAUAUGUAGGAUUGGUGUGAGAAAUAUCGAAGGGUGGAUUGGAGAAACCAUGAUUGUUGUUUCUGCAUAGU